GAUGAACGCUGGCGGCGUGCCUAAUACAUGCAAGUCGAGCGAACGGACGAGAAGCUUGCUUUUCUGAUGUUAGCGGCGGACGGGUGAGUAACACGUGGAUAACCUACCUAUAAGACUGGGAUAACUUCGGGAAACCGGAGCUAAUACCGGAUAAUAUUUUGAACCGCAUGGUUCAAAAGUGAAAGACGGUCUUGCUGUCACUUAUAGAUGGAUCCGCGCUGCAUUAGCUAGUUGGUAAGGUAACGGCUUACCAAGGCAACGAUGCAUAGCCGACCUGAGAGGGUGAUCGGCCACACUGGAACUGAGACGCGGUCCAGACUCCUACGGGAGGCAGCAGUAGGGAAUCUUCCGCAAAGGGCGAAAGCCUGACGGAGCAACGCCGCGUGAGUGAUGAAGGUCUUCGGAUCGUAAAACUCUGUUAUUAGGGAAGAACAUAUGUGUAAGUAACUGUGCACAUCUUGACGGUACCUAAUCAGAAAGCCACGGCUAACUACGUG
rnacentral:rRNA from 1 species